CCCAGGUCAGCCAUCAAGCAAUCUGAGGCUUGAGUGAAAGCACAGGAAGCUAGCCAGGACCCCUGACCGCCAUUGGGUGUACCCUUCCCAGCUGGCGCCUGCUCAGAAUAUAAAACAGCUAGGAAACAAAAUGACGAAACAACAGAGCUGAUCACACAGUAAGCAAUCAGACAUAGAGAUUUUUAAAGCCCUAACUUUGGAGGUUGCUUUCAAACACAGACCAAUCCCAGAGGUGAUACCAAAGCCAGAAUUGCCAAAAAAAGUCAGCGGUCUUACUGCUUCAAGGCAAGUCAAGGUAUUUUGUUGUGUGUCAUGUUCUUGCUUCUGU
rnacentral:lncRNA from 1 species